UGGAUGGUUAGCUCUCUACACGGAUCUACGCAGUGAGGCAGACAUGGCACUUCCUGACGGUCCCUCUCUAUCUCCCGACACAUCCACCAACCACUGGAACACAUCUCCAAAGUUCUGCCGGGCCAGCUCAGCUUCCCCUCAGAAGAAGUUCCGCCAGAUGAAGGAGCCUUUUGAGAGGCAGCUGGCAUCGUGAUUGGACUGUACUUUGGUCUGUUCCAAUCCAGCUUCAGCUCCAGAGACAGCAGGCGGGACGAGUCAACGGAGGCCGGGUGGACGAAGACCAAAGAACUACAGACUCUUCACAACCUGCUCAAACUCUUGGUACAGGACCUCACCACACGGGUCAAGAAGGUUUCUGUCUCAUUUCUACUCUGAAGCUCACCUUCUCCUGCUCAAACUGCUGACAAAUGUUUCUGCUGCUCUAAAGUCUGGUCUACAGAACUUCCUAAAAACUCUCAAAGUCUCUUCUGCUGCAG
ensembl:lncRNA